rnacentral:rRNA from 1 species
AAUGUAAUUCCUACUACAUUAAUGCAUUGGAUCCCAUUAUAAAUUCACAUUUAAUCAUGCUUGGGAUAGAUUAGUACUAGGAUGGGUGACCUCCUGGGAAGUCCUAAUGUUUUACAUGC